rnacentral:rRNA from 1 species
CUCCUACGGGAGGCAGCAGUGAGGAAUAUUGGUCAAUGGACGAGAGUCUGAACCAGCCAAGUAGCGUGAAGGAUGACUGCCCUAUGGGUUGUAAACUUCUUUUAUACGGGAAUAAAGUUAGCCACGUGUGGCUUUUUGUAUGUACCGUAUGAAUAAGGAUCGGCUAACUCCGUGCCAGCAGCCGCGGUAAUACGGAGGAUCCGAGCGUUAUCCGGAUUUAUUGGGUUUAAAGGGAGCGUAGGCGGGUUGUUAAGUCAGUUGUGAAAGUUUGCGGCUCAACCGUAAAAUUGCAGUUGAUACUGGCGACCUUGAGUGCAACAGAGGUAGGCGGAAUUCGUGGUGUAGCGGUGAAAUGCUUAGAUAUCACGAAGAACUCCGAUUGCGAAGGCAGCUUACUGGAUUGUAACUGACGCUGAUGCUCGAAAGUGUGGGUAUCAAACAGGAUUAGAUACCCUGGUAGUCCACACAGUAAACGAUGAAUACUCGCUGUUGGCGAUAUACGGUCAGCGGCCAAGCGAAAGCAUUAAGUAUUCCACCUGGGGAGUACGCCGGCAACGGUGAAACUCAAAGGAAUUGACGGGGGCCCGCACAAGCGGAGGAACAUGUGGUUUAAUUCGAUGAUACGCGAGGAACCUUACCCGGGCUUAAAUUGCAACUGACUGAAUCGGAAACGGUUCUUUCUUCGGACAGUUGUGAAGGUGCUGCAUGGUUGUCGUCAGCUCGUGCCGUGAGGUGUCGGCUUAAGUGCCAUAACGAGCGCAACCCUUACGGGUAGUUACCAUCAGGUUAUGCUGGGGACUCUACCCGGACUGCCGUCGUAAGAUGUGAGGAAGGUGGGGAUGACGUCAAAUCAGCACGGCCCUUACGUCCGGGGCUACACACGUGUUACAAUGGGGGGUACAGAAGGCAGCUACACGGCGACGUGGUGCUAAUCCCGAAAGCCUCUCUCAGUUCGGAUUGGAGUCUGCAACCCGACUCCAUGAAGCUGGAUUCGCUAGUAAUCGCGCAUCAGCCACGGCGCGGUGAAUACGUUCCCGGGCCUUGUACACACCGC